rnacentral:rRNA from 1 species
UACGUCGGUGACAAGCGUUGUCCGGAUUUACUGGGCGUAAAGAGCGCGCAGGCGGUCGAUCAAGUCGAGUGUGAAAGCCCCCGGCUCAACUGGGGAGGGUCAUUCGAUACUGAUCGACUCGAAGGCAGGAGAGGGUAGUGGAAUUCCCGGUGUAGUGGUGAAAUGCGUAGAUAUCUGGAGGAACAUCAGUGGCGAAGGCGACACCCUGGACUCAUACUGACACUGAGGUGCGAAAGCGUGGGGAGCAAACAGG